AUAUCCCCAUUGUUAGGAGGCGCACGACUGUAUUUAGUCCAACAACUUGCUGAAAUGUGAUUCUACCAUUUUUCCAGUCAACUCCUAAGUUUUAAAUACCAUACAUCUGCCACCUUACCAGGCAGUUUCAACCAUAACAACAGAAGAAUACUCUUGGCAAAUAGAUCCCACUCUCUGAGGGUUGUGUUGGGGCUCAGAAAAUACUACCCCGAAGUAUGACACUUUGGCAUGCUGAAUACUUUGAACUAAAAGAGAUUGGAAGGCCUCAGAAGCAGCCUCGGAAGCAGUCUCUCCCUCUGAUCUCCUGCCCUUCUGUCUCCUGCCCAUCUUUCGUCCCAGAAGUGAGUCACAGAAACCAGAAUUCUUCCCCAAGUGGUGGCUGUGAUCCUUACAAUGGGUGGUGAGGAAAGGUACUAAAGUUUUCGGCCCCUACGUUGCACUUUAAAUAAAUAAAUGUAUAAAAGCAAAGUAGACAAAGACACAUGAAGUCAUAAUGAAAAUACCAGAGUCAGCCAAGGAAGAAGGCAGACUUGCAGUUGAAAUGCUCCAGAUCACUUUGUCCACCGAACGAAAACAUCUAAGAACAUACAGUCCAUACUCCAAGUUUUAAACGACUGUCCACCAAGAAGGGAAAAGGAGAACUGAUGGCUCCUCUUAGGCCCAUUCAAGACAAGGGGGUCCCAAUUCCCUUGCUUUAGACUGGUGGGACUGGCAGGUAAACCUGAGGCAAAUGACUGACUACAGGUUCCAAGGCCAGUUACUCCAAUUAGAAAGCAAAACACAAAGUUUCAAAAAACAGUGAAGGCAGUCGGGAGGCUGAGGCACGACAAUCGCUUUAACCCGGGAGACGGAGGUUGCGGUGGGCCGAGAUCACGCCACUGCACUCCAGCCUGGACAACAGUGCGAGACUCCGUCUCAAAAACAACAACAACAACAAAUGGUGAAGGGAUGAGGCUGAAACAUCACGGGAAGUAAAAUAAAUAAUUGUAACAAGAAAACAAUAAAGCAUUGGAGAAUCCACCCAGGCA
ensembl:lncRNA PARP11-AS1 PARP11 antisense RNA 1